AAACGCUGUAGCUCGCUCCACCUGCUGCUGCCGCUGCCGCCGCCGCCGCCGCCGCCUUUGCCACUGCGAGAACUGUAGCGGUGCGACCCGGGAUUCCCUCCUCUCGGCGCCCCACCCUCGACUCCUGUUCCGCUGAGCGCGCCCUCCCCGGCGGGCGGAGACUGCAGCGCCGGGGGCUGAGGAAAGCCAUCCGACCUUGGGACUAGGGAAACGUGGACUUGGUGGGCUAUUCUGCGCUGAAGAGGCAGCAACGAGGGCUCGGUGGUAUUGGUGUUGGUCCUAGUGGAAUUGUCAAGAGGAUGCUUUUGAAGACCUGAUGCCUGGAGGUACAGCAGCCAUCUUGUGACCAUAAGGAGGAAAUCAACGCAUUAAGAAGGGAAAAGCUAAGAAGAUACAGAGAGCAGGGACCACUGACAACAUGAUCAAGCCACUCUACCAGGCCUUAACUUCCUAUUCCCUGACUUCUUAUUGAAAGAGACAAUAAAACUUCUCAUUUGUUUUAACCCAUAGAAGUAAGGCAUUCUGUUACUUAUGGGUGAACACAAUUCUUAACUGAUGCCAUGGUUUAAUGGGAGUAGGGAUCCUGGUAUGACAGGAAAUUGAG
rnacentral:lncRNA from 1 species